rnacentral:rRNA from 1 species
UCUACSGGAGGCAGCAGUAAGGAAUAUUGGUCAAUGGAGGCAACUCUGAACCAGCCAUGCCGCGUGCAGGAUGACGGCCCUAUGGGUUGUAAACUGCUUUUGUACCAGAGAAAACCUAUCUACGUGUAGAUAGCUGAUAGUAUGGUAAGAAUAAGCAUCGGCUAACUUCGUGCCAGCAGCCGCGGUAU